CUUGAUUGGCCUACCGUGGUGUUAUUACCCUCACUCCUAACCAAUGUCACUCCUCGUGCCUUAACCUAACCAAUCCAACCAAUGAUGGCAACGAGUACUAGGCAAUCAAGGGCAGAGUAGGGCGGGACAUACCUUCGGCUUCCUGGGAAACGCAAAUUUGCGUGCGGCGCAACUAACCCAAAACAUCCAGGCAUAAAACGCAAGCGAUAAGAAACUGAAACUGAUAAGUAAGCAUUAUAUUCCACGACGAUGUGUUCAAGGGUACGUUGCUUUGAACUAGCUAUCUCUUGAGUGAAGUGCCCCCAUCCAAAGACAUGGCAGAGCAAGACCCAGAUCACCACCACACAACAG